rnacentral:lncRNA from 1 species
UUAUUUUUUUUUUCUCUCCCUUUUGUUUCCAACGCCUGCCCCUGGCUCAGCGCCCAGUGCCAACAGAACACCUUUCAGGAUUCACAGCAACGCAGACAACCAGAGGCUGUGUGCAAUUGCAAUCCAAGAUGUUAAAAGUGGAGUCCAGGAUCCCGGCCUCUGCUUGGAACGAAACAGUGUCAUGGCGGAGACGACGGCCUUUGUCUUGCUGGGUGUGAAAACAUCCGCUGUGCUGGCUCCACUGCAGCAGAAUCAAGUUUAAARGAAAAAAAGUGAUUAAAGUCAGCUUUGUGCCUCUUUGGUGUGGAA